rnacentral:rRNA from 1 species
CGACGCUGGCGGCAGGCCUAAUACAUGCAAGUCGAGCGGCAAGUCGAGGAGUAAUCUAAGACCUAGAGCGGCGCACGGGUGCGUAACGCGUAUGCAACCUACCUUAUACUGGGGGAUAGCCCGGAGAAAUCUGGAUUAAUACCCCAUGGCACAUAUUGAUGGCAUCUGAGAUAUGUUAAAGAUUUAUUGGUAUAAGAUGGGCAUGCGUCUGAUUAGCUAGUUGGCGGUGUAACGGACCACCAAGGCGACGAUCAGUAGGGGUUCUGAGAGGAAGGUCCCCCACACUGGCACUGAGAUACGGGCCAGACUCCUACGGGAGGCAGCAGUAGGGAAUAUUGGGCAAUGGUCGGAAGACUGACCCAGCCAUGCCGCGUGCAGGAAGACGGCCCUCUGGGUUGUAAACUGCUUUUAUCUGGGAAGAAAAAGGCCAUGCGUGGCAAAUUGCCGGUACCAGAUGAAUAAGCACCGGCUAACUCCGUG